rnacentral:tRNA from 1 species
GGUUGAUUAGCUUAGUGGUUAGAGCUUAGGCCUUGUGACCGGAAGGUCCCGGGUUCGAAUCCCGCUAGAACCG